GGCAAAAAUAUGGUCGGUGACCAGAAGCCAGGCAACUUUGGGAUUUUCGGAGCUCAGCGAAGGGUGUGGGAGGUCAACAGAUCAGAAGACUGCCACUGAAAGAAAGCGUAUUACUCACUGUUCCCAGAACAAUUUACAAAGGAAGUAUCUGGUGAGCUGCUAAGGCUGCCGAGGCUGACCUCCACCGCUGGAGGUCACUCCACCUCACCGCACUGCGGCCUGGUGCUCUCUGACUGCUUCCUGACCUUCUACCAGACCCAGCGGCACCCCAACCAGGCCUUCCCUGAGACCCCCCAAUCUCAGGAGAAGAGCCCAAUGUCCAGCCCAGUUGAGCUUGAGAUUUAUUUCUCUUCACACCAAUUCCCACACAGGUCCUUUGUCUUUUUUUUUUUUUUAAUGAGUGGGGAAGGGCAGAGGAAGAGGGAAAAUUGUAAGCAGUCUCCACCCCCCAGCAAAUAGUCCAGAGCAGGGCUCAAUCCUACAACCCUGAGAUAAUGACCUGAGCCAAAAUCAAGAGUCAGUUGCUUAAACAGUUGAGCCAACCCAGGCGCCCCUGGUCCUUAGUCUUUUAAUGUUCUUUGAAUAAAAACUUUAUUUUCCAA